AUUGAACGCUGGCGGCAGGCCUAACACAUGCAAGUCGAGCGAGUGGCGGACGGGUGAGUAAUGUAUGGGGAACUGCCCGAUAGAGGGGGAUAACUACUGGAAACGGUAGCUAAUACCGCAUACUAUCGGAUGAACCCAUAUGGGAUUGGCUAGUAGGUGGGGUAAAGGCUCACCUAGGCGACGAUCUCUAGCUGGUCUGAGAGGAUGAUCAGCCACAUGGGGACUGAGACACGGCCCAGACGCCUACGGGAGGCAGCAGUGGGGAAUAUUGCACAAUGGGCGCAAGCCUGAUGCAGCCAUGCCGCGUGUAUGAAGAAGGCCUUAGGGUUGUAAAGUACUUUCAGCGGGGAGGCGUUACCCGCAGAAGAAGCACCGGCUAACUCCGUGCCAGCCGCCGCGGUAAUUC
rnacentral:rRNA from 1 species